rnacentral:rRNA from 1 species
CCUACGGGAGGCAGCAGUAAGGAAUAUUGGUCAAUGGGCGCAAGCCUGAACCAGCCAUGCCGCGUGCAGGAAGACGGCCCUAUGGGUUGUAAACUGCUUUUGAACAAGAGAAAACCUCGGUACGUGUACCGAGCUGAUAGUAUUGUUAGAAUAAGCAUCGGCUAACUUCGUGCCAGCAGCCGCGGUAAGACGAAGGAUGCAAGCGUUAUCCGGAUUCAUUGGGUUUAAAGGGUGCGUAGGCGGCCUGAUAAGUCAGUGGUGAAAUCUCUCAGCUUAACUGAGAAACUGCCAUUGAUACUGUCGGGCUUGAGUACAGAUGAUGUGGGCGGAAUAUGACAUGUAGUGGUGAAAUACUUAGAUAUGUCAUAGAACACCGAUUGCGAAGGCAGCUCACAAAACUGUAACUGACGCUGAGGCACGAAAGUGCGGGGAUCAAACAGGAUUAGAUACCCUGGUAGUCCGCACCGUAAACGAUGAUUACUCGUUGUUGGCAAUAUGACCGUCAGCGACCAAGCGAAAGCGAUAAGUAAUCCACCUGGGGAGUACGCCGGCAACGGUGAAACUCGAAAGGAAUUGACGGCNGAGAGNGCGACGGACGACACGAGGGAGGAGG